rnacentral:rRNA from 1 species
UCGCCCUUAGAGUUUGAUCCUGGCUCAGGAUGAACGCUAGCUACAGGCUUAACACAUGCAAGUCGAGGGGCAGCGGGAUUGAAGCUUGCUUCAAUUGCCGGCGACCGGCGCACGGGUGAGUAACGCGUAUCCAACCUUCCGUACACUCAGGGAUAGCCUUUCGAAAGAAAGAUUAAUACCUGAUGGUAUGAUGAGAUUGCAUGAUAGCAUCAUUAAAGAUUUAUCGGUGUACGAUGGGGAUGCGUUCCAUUAGGUAGUAGGCGGGGUAACGGCCCACCUAGCCAACGAUGGAUAGGGGUUCUGAGAGGAAGGUCCCCCACAUUGGAACUGAGACACGGUCCAAACUCCUACGGGAGGCAGCAGUGAGGAAUAUUGGUCAAUGGACGAGAGUCUGAACCAGCCAAGUAGCGUGAAGGAUGAAGGUCCUACGGAUUGUAAACUUCUUUUAUAAGGGAAUAAACCCUCCCACGUGUGGGAGCUUGUAUGUACCUUAUGAAUAAGCAUCGGCUAACUCCGUGCCAGCAGCCGCGGUAAUACGGAGGAUGCGAGCGUUAUCCGGAUUUAUUGGGUUUAAAGGGAGCGCAGACGGGUCGUUAAGUCAGCUGUGAAAGUUUGGGGCUCAACCUUAAAAUUGCAGUUGAUACUGGCGUCCUUGAGUGCGGUUGAGGUGUGCGGAAUUCGUGGUGUAGCGGUGAAAUGCUUAGAUAUCACGAAGAACUCCGAUUGCGAAGGCAGCACACUAAUCCGUAACUGACGUUCAUGCUCGAAAGUGUGGGUAUCAAACAGGAUUAGAUACCCUGGUAGUCCACACGGUAAACGAUGGAUACUCGCUGUUGGCGAUAUACUGUCAGCGGCUUAGCGAAAGCGUUAAGUAUCCCACCUGGGGAGUACGCCGGCAACGGUUG